ACGCGCUGGCGGCGUGCCUAACACAUGCAAGUCGAGCGGAGAAUGCAGAAAUGUUUACAUGGAAGCGUUCUUAGCGGCGGACGGGUGAGUAACACGUGGGUAACCUGCCUCAAAGUGGGGGAUAGCCUUCCGAAAGGAAGAUUAAUACCGCAUAAGCCUACAGUGCCGCAUGGCACAGCAGGAAAAGGAGCAAUCCGCUUUGAGAUGGACCCGCGGCGCAUUACCUAGUUGGUGAGUAAAGCGCUCAGCG
rnacentral:rRNA from 1 species